rnacentral:rRNA from 1 species
UACGUAGGGACCGAGCGUUGUCCGGAAUCAUUGGGCGUAAAGAGCGUGUAAGCGGCCAUUUAAGUCCUGCGUGAAAUCCUGCGGCUCAACCGCAGGCGGUCGUGGGAAACUGGAUGGCUAGAGUGCGGGAGAGGAGAGUGGAAUUCCUGGUGUAGCGGUGGAAUGCGCAGAUAUCAGGAAGAACACCCGUGGCGAAGGCGGCUCUCUGGAACGCAACUGACGCUGAGACGCGAAAGCGUGGGGAGCAAACAGG